GAUGAACGCUAGCGGCAGGCUUAAUACAUGCAAGUCGAGGGACAGCACAGGUAGCAAUACUGGGUGGUAACCGGCAAACGGGUGCGGAACACGUACACAACCUUCCUUCAAGUGGGGGAUAGCCCAGAGAAAUUUGGAUUAAUACCCCGUAAAAUAGUUGAAUGGCAUCAUUUGAGUAUUAUAGAUAAGGCGCUUCAUGAUGGGUGUGCGGUGGAUUGGAUAGUUGGCGGGGUAACGGCCCACCAAGUCUACGAUCAGUAGCUGAUGUGAGAGCAUGUGCAGCCACACGGGAACUGGGACAGGGGCCCGACUCCUACGGGAGGCAGCAGUAAGGAAUAUUGGUCAAUGGACGCAAGUCUGAACCAGCCAUGCCGCGUGAAGGAUUAAGGUCCUCUGGAUUGUAAACUUCUUUUAUUUGGGACGAAAAAGGGCCUUUCUAGGUCAACUGACGGUACCAGAUGAACAAGCACCGGCUAACUCCGUGCCAGCCGCCGCGGUAAAAC
rnacentral:rRNA from 1 species